rnacentral:misc_RNA from 1 species
ACAAACUUGGUCAUUUAGAGGAAGUAAAAGUCGUAACAAGGUUUCCGUAGGUGAACCUGCGGAAGGAUCAUUAUUGAAUUAUGUUUUCUAGACAGGUUGUAGCUGGCUCCUAGGAGCAUGUGCACGCCUGUCUGGACUUCAUUUUCAUCCACCUGUGCACCUUUUGUAGUCUUUGUCGGGUAUGGAGGAAAUGGUCAGCCUAUCAGCUCUCGCUGGAUAUGAGGACUUGCAGUGUGAGAACAGUGCUGUCCUUUACUUGGCCAUGGAAUCUAUUUCCUGUCAGAGUCUAUGUUAUGCAUUAUACCCUAUAAACUGUUAUUGAAUGUGUUUACGUGGGCUUCUAUGCCUAUGAAAAUUGUAAUACAACUUUCAGCAACGGAUCUCUUGGCUCUCGCAUCGAUGAAGAACGCAGC